rnacentral:lncRNA from 1 species
AGGGCUUCCUAUGUCAUCUGUCAUAAUCCUUACCCCAUGAGAAGGUUAGUUAGUGGCAGAACUGGGAUUUGAAUCCACAUCUGAAUGACUACAGAGCCUGUGCUCUUUGUGUUAGAUCAUAGAGGAAUGGGGAAUGUUAUAAUUCUUUUAUUAAAUUUGACUCAUUAUUCUUAAAGUUCUUAUUUUCUUCUCCAGAAUGUCCUGAAACCAAACUUAACGAAGCUAAUGAAUGCUUCUCAGCAAUCCAAGAGAAGCAGUAAGUUAUCUAAGACUGUCCUCCUGGUUUUAUUCACUGAUUUGAAAUUACAGAUGUUCUCAUGUACUCUCCCUUGUUUUCACUGUAGUAGAAGCAAAAUGUAGCAUUAUGAGACCAGAGAGUACAACCUUCUCUGAGGACAAUAAUUCUGAUGGUGAAAUUGAAGAUGUGGUUGAAACCAUUCCUGAACCAUCACCUGGAGUCCAGGGCUUCUCUCAUGCUUCCUUCCCAUCGCCUGAGCCUCUUCCACAACCUCUCAAGUCUCUCGCGGGUCUUGGUCUCACAAAGGAAGGAGCCACAAAGCCAGAGAUUGUAGACAAAGAAAGUGAUACAGAUAUUAUUGAAAGGGCUCCCCAAGAGCAAAUAAAUCAUGACCAUUUGAGUUCUGUUGAUGGAACGCACAAAAAUAAUAGAAGUGGUAAGUUCGUGAAUGUCUGUGGAUUUUUUUCUAUGCUUAAAAGCUCAGAUAAAAAAGUGUAUAGAUGCAAAUAUGGCAUUCAUUUCUUUUUAAGUGUGUUUCUUUUGCUCUCUUCUUCAGAAGUGUCCCAAGUACUACCAACUUUUUCUUCCUGAAAAUGCUUCAACCCUCUGAAAUUCUUUUCCACUAGUUCAUUUUAUUGAACUAUUUGUGGAUA